rnacentral:rRNA from 1 species
ACCGCCCGCUUUCUUCAUUCCUAACACAUGCAAGUCGAGCGGAUGAAGGGAGCUUGCUCCUGGAUUCAGCGGCGGACGGGUGAGUAAUGCCUAGGAAUCUGCCUGGUAGUGGGGGAUAACGUCCGGAAACGGGCGCUAAUACCGCAUACGUCCUGAGGGAGAAAGUGGGGGAUCUUCGGACCUCACGCUAUCAGAUGAGCCUAGGUCGGAUUAGCUAGUUGGUGGGGUAGAGGCCUACCAAGGCGACGAUCCGUAACUGGUCUGAGAGGAUGAUCAGUCACACUGGAACUGAGACACGGUCCAGACUCCUACAGGAGGCAGCAGUGGGGAAUAUUGGACAAUGGGCGAAAGCCUGAUCCAGCCAUGCCGCGUGUGUGAAGAAGGUCUUCGGAUUGUAAAGCACUUUAAGUUGGGAGGAAGGGCAGUAAGUUAAUACCUUGCUGUUUUGACGUUACCAACAGAAUAAGCACCGGCUAACUUCGUG